rnacentral:lncRNA from 1 species
GCCAGCACCUUGGUCUUGGUCAUGAAUCUUAUCUGCCUGGCCCCUUACAACCCCCUCAGGGAGCCCCCUGGCCUGGUGGUUCCUGUGGGACUAGAGGCGAUGGGGGCUGUGCUGUAGGAGGCCAGCCCAGCCCAGAUCCCCAUCUCUCUCUCCUGCAGUGGCCUGAGGCAGAUGAGGCCCUGGGAGGUGUGGGCAGGCACCUACCAGCAUAGCAUGGAGAUCCAGGUCCGGAGGCGAAGGCCGGGCAUGUGGAACAGGGUACCCAGGCUGGCAGAAGCCUGAGGCCCACUCAACUCCUCCUGCAUGGCUGAGAGCAAGGCCUGUGGGCUGCAUCUUCUUGCUACCCUACACCUGGUCACCAGGAAGAGGCUCUGUGACAUCCCUAGUCAUCUAUCUGCACCCAAAUGGCCACCAGUGCCAAUGUCUCUAGACCCCUGUGUCUGAUGGUCCUCAUGCAUCUGUAGUAAACACAGCUGCUUGACACUAACCUGGCUUCCACGACCCCCAACAUCCAACUAGCCCCCGUGCACUGUCCCAUGCAGCUGCCUGGCUCCCCUGUUGCCCCUUGACACUGGUCCUUCCUCUGGCCCUGUGCUCAUGGAGGUCCCCAGCAGGACAUGUUGUCCCAUGUGAACAGCAGCAAGGUGGGGCAACUGGGGUCAUAUCCCCUGGGUGCCUAGCUCCUUCUGUGUUUGUAGGAGGGGGAAAAAGAGGAUCCAAGUGCAGAUGAGAGUUGACAAACCCCUUUGGGCUGUCAGACUUUGGGGGCAGCGUGGGAGAGGGAAGUGUUGGGGCCACCUAGCUCAGCAUCUAGGGGGGCUGGUGCCUCUUUGGGGAAGCCUUGAGGGAAGCAGGGAAGGAGGUCUGGGGUGGGGGGAGCAGGUGUUUGUGGGGCUGAGAUACCAGUAAGGCGGUGUUUGGCAGGCAGUUGGUGACAUGAGGCUGGAGGUGGGUAGGACAGAGAAGACUUGGGAUCUGUAGCGUUGGAGGGACUUGGAGCUGUUGGCUGUUGAGACCUCCAGGGAGAGUGUGGCCUGUGCCUGCUGUGUGCUAUGGGGGUCAUAGCGUGGUGGCGUCUUGGGCCUGGCAGUAAGGGACACCUGGGCACAGGGAUGCAUCUGGGAUGCCUGUGCCCUGGGCGGGAGGAUUGUGCCAGGCUCCUGGAGCCCUCUUCCAGCUCCACAACCCUGGUCUCUGGCACCUAGGGCCUCUACUCCCAGGUAAAGGGGGCUUCCACACCAGGUCCCCAGGAGAGGACAAGGUCUCCUCCUCCAUGGGGAGAGGGUGCAACACUUACCAUGAAUAGGCAAAGCAGAGGAAGAAAGGGGUAGAGAGGGCCAGUUGCAGCAGUGCCCAGUGACGCAGGCCAUAGGCCACUGCGGCCAUCAGGAUUUGGCCAAAGCUGAAGCCCAGAGAGUUCAUGGUCAUCAUCAAGAGGUGGGCCUGAGCCAACGUCCACUCCAUCACUACGAGGAGACCCAGAGGUCAGGCCCAGGGCCCGCCUAGUGCUUUCCCUGCAUGGCACCCGCCCAGGGACCUACAGAGACUGGUCGUGUUCAUCAUGACACCUGCUACCGCGAAGGCUGCCAGAAAGCGGAACAGGCAGUAGAGUGAGAAGGUUGAUUCCCUUCUGUUCUUACAAAGAGGCCCCUUCCCGCUUGCUGGAACAAGCUGCUCCUCCCCACUGGCCCAGAUUUGGUUGAUGCCCCUUCGCAGAAGCCACUUGGAUUUGUCCCUGCCUCGGGGAGCCCAGUGAAUAAUCCAGUCCCCAGUGACUCAGUUAACAGGGGUCACAGAUCAGUGUCAGCCAGCCGGGACCUUGUGCAAGAUGUCAGUGGAGCCUGCAUUCAGGGGUGCACAAUGGCCUUCUUCCUGGCUGGAUCACGUAGCAGGUUGUUUGUGAUUCCUCCCAGCCUGUGGUGUCCCGUGGUGACAGCAGCUGCCUCUGGUGUCAAGCCAGGAAGGAGAAAGGGCAGGCUGGAGAGCUGACCCUCUGUGACUCAGCAAAGCUCAUGAGGCAUGGGGGGCAGGGG